CGCGCAGGUGGUCCUGAAAGUCGAGCGUGAAAGCUCCCGGCCCAACUGGGAGAGGCCGUUCGAAACUUCAGGACUUGAAGGCGGGAGAGGCAAAUGGAAUUUCCGGUGUAGCGGUAAAAUGCGUAGAUACCGGAAGGAACACCAGUGGCGAAAGCGAUUUGCUGGCCCGCCCUUGACACUCAGGCGCGAAAGCUAGGGGAGCGACCGGGAUUAGAUACCCCGUUAGUCCUAGCCGUAAACAAUGGGCACUAGGUGUUGUCGGUAUCGACCCCGGCAGUGCCGAAGCUAACGCAUUAAGUGCCCCGCCUGGGGAGUACGACCGCAAGGUUAAA
rnacentral:rRNA from 1 species